GAUAAACGCUGGCGGCGUGCCUAACACAUGCAAGUCGAACGCCCUGGAGCAAUUCAGGGAGUGGCGGACGGGUGAGGAACACGUGGGUUAUCUGCCUUGAGGUGAGGAAUACCGGCGAGAAAUCGCCGACAAUACCGCAUACGUUCGUAAGAACAAAGUCGCAAGACGCCACAAGAUGAGCCUGCGUCCGAUUAGCUAGUUGGUGGGUAAAGCCUACCAAGGCAGCGAUCGGAGCUGGUCUGAGAGGACGAUCAGCCACACUGGGACUGAGACACGGCCCAGACUCUACGGGAGGCAGCAGUGGGGAAUCUUGCGCAAUGGGCGAAAGCCUGACGCAGCGACGCCGCGUGAGGGAUGAC
rnacentral:rRNA from 1 species